UCACUGUCAUGAUCGUGUGCAGGAUUGGACAAAACAAGAUGGCAGACGGCAUUUCCAAACAAAGGUAUCAAGCCCUAGAACUUCAUUCCAUGAGAUGGGUACACUUCGAAUGUGCAAAUUUGUGGUGAGGAAUUCAAGACCAAUUCUGAAUUGCGUAGGCAUGUAUAAAGGAAACAUCAGUCAGAAAAAUUGUCUUCGUUUGUGACCAGUGCAACACACGCUUUUGCCCAUUAUAAAAGAAACUCGAAGUAAAAAAUACAUUGUUUUCUGAAUACACGAGGUGCAUACAUACAUGUAUACCAUGGCAGCCGUUUUAUAUAUUCGUUUAUGUACAUUGUGAAACGAUUAUUUUUACGGUAUUAUGCUUUGUUUUACAGAGAUACUACUAAUCUUUUACAUUGCAUUUUACACAUGUUGAUUUGUCAUUUCAUUGAACCUAAGUUUUACGUGUUAUUAAAUAUAUUUCAAUGUUA